rnacentral:rRNA from 1 species
UACGAAGGGGGCUAGCGUUGCUCGGAAUCACUGGGGCGUAAAGGGUGCGUAGGCGGGUCUUUAAGUCAGGGGUGAAAUCCUGGAGCUCAACUCCAGAACUGCCUUCGAUACUGGGAGUCUCGAGUCCGAGAGAGGUGAGUGGAACUGCGAGUGUAGAGGUGAAAUUCGUAGAUAUUCGCAAGAACACCAGUGGCGAAGGCGGCUCACUGGCUCGGUACUGACGCUGAGGUGCGAAAGCGUGGGGAGCAAACAGGG